AGGGCCAUCGCUCAACGGAUAAAAGGUACUCCGGGGAUAACAGGCUGAUACCGCCCAAGAGUUCAUAUCGACGGCGGUGUUUGGCACCUCGAUGUCGGCUCAUCACAUCCUGGGGCUGAAGUAGGUCCCAAGGGUAUGGCUGUUCGCCAUUUAAAGUGGUACGCGAGCUGGGUUUAGAACGUCGUGAGACAGUUCGGUCCCUAUCUGCCGUGGGCGCUGGAGAAUUGAGGGGGGCUGCUCCUAGUACGAGAGGACCGGAGUGGACGCAUCACUGGUGUUCG
rnacentral:rRNA from 1 species